AUUGAACGCUGGCGGCAGGCCUAACACAUGCAAGUCGAGCGAGCGGCGGACGGGUGAGUAAUGUAUGGGGACUGCCCGAUCGAGGGGGAUAAGUACGGGAAACGGUGGCUAAUACCGCAUACUAUCGGAUAACCCAUAUGGGAUUAGCUAGUCGGUGUGGUAAAGGCUCACCUAGGCGACGAUUCCUAGCUGGUCUGAGAGGAUGAUCAGCCACACUGUGACUGAGACACGGCCCAGACUCUUCCGGAGGCAGCAGUGGGGAAUAUUCAACAAUGGGCGCAAUCCUGACACAGCCAUGCCGCGUGUAUGAAGAAGGCUUUAGGGUUGUAAAGUACUGUAAGCGGGGAGGCGUUACCCGCAGAAGAAGCCCCGGCUAACUCCGUGCCAGCAGCCGCGGUAAUAC
rnacentral:rRNA from 1 species